rnacentral:misc_RNA from 1 species
AACGGUCUAUACCUGCGGUACCUGCGGAGGGAUCAUUACAAAUCCAAACAAUCACACGUUAAAACGUUCUCGACCUUGGAAAAGGCUGUAUAAUGUGUGGAUAUUGCACCAGUUGCAAGAACACAGCAUAGCUGGCUAGUUUGGAGCAGUACUCUCACAUGGGGGUAUGCUUCGCUUGCCGCCAAGGUUCGAACAAUAUUAACUAUUCAUUUGACAACCACAUUUAAACAAACAAAACAA